UAAUACACAAGUAUGUCCUGUCUAGGCCCUUACGAUCUGCUGAAGACGUCUAUUAGCAGAUCAUAAGGGCCUAGACAGGACAUACCUG